GAGUGGAAUUUCCACGUGUAGCGGUGAAAUGCGUAGAGAUGUGGAGGAACACCAGUGGCGAAGGCGACUCUCUGGUCUGUAACUGACGCUGAGGAGCGAAAGCGUGGGGAGCGAACAGGAUUAGAUACCCUGGUAGUCCACGCCGUAAACGAUGAGUGCUAAGUGUUAGGGGGUUUCCGCCCCUUAGUGCUGCAGCUAACGCAUUAAGCACUCCGCCUGGGGAGUACGGUCGCAAGACUGAAACUCAAAGGAAUUGACGGGGGCCCGCACAAGCGGUGGAGCAUGUGGUUUAAUUCGAAGCAACGCGAAGAACCUUACCAGGUCUUGACAUCCUCUGACAAUCCUAGAGAUAGGACGUCCCCUUCGGGGGCAGAGUGACAGGUGGUGCAUGGUU
rnacentral:rRNA from 2 species